rnacentral:rRNA from 1 species
GUACACUCCUGCGGGAGGCAGCAGUGAGGAAUAUUGGACAAUGGGUGGAAGCCUGAUCCAGCCAUCCCGCGUGCAGGAAGACGGCCCUAUGGGUUGUAAACUGCUUUUAUCUGGGGAUAAACCUACUUACGUGUAAGUAGCUGAAGGUACCAGAAGCAUAAGCACCGGCUAACUCCGUGCCAGCAGCCGCGGUAAUACGGAGGGUGCAAGCGUUAUCCGGAUUUAUUGGGUUUAAAGGGUCCGUAGGCGGACUGAUAAGUCAGUGGUGAAAUCCGACAGCUUAACUGUCGAACUGCCAUUGAUACUGUUAGUCUUGAGUAAGGUUGAAGUGGCUGGAAUAAGUAGUGUAGCGGUGAAAUGCAUAGAUAUUACUUAGAACACCAAUUGCGAAGGCAGGUCACUAAGUCUUAACUGACGCUGAUGGACGAAAGCGUGGGGAGCGAACAGGAUUAGAAACCCCUGUAGUCCC